rnacentral:rRNA from 1 species
UCCUGUAAUAAAAUAAGAUAAAAAAAAAACCAGUUCUCGUCCGAUCACUGAAGUUAAGCAACGUCGGGCUCGGUUAGUACUUAGAUGGGUGACCGCCUGGGAACACCGAGUGCUGUAGACU